GACAGAGGAUGCAAGCGUUAUCCGGAAUUAUUGGGCGUAAAGAGCUCGUAGGCGGUUUGUCGCGUCUGCCGUGAAAACCCGAGGCUCAACCUCGGGCCUGCAGUGGGUACGGGCAGACUAGAGUGCGGUAGGGGAGACUGGAAUUCCUGGUGUAGCGGUGAAAUGCGCAGAUAUCAGGAGGAACACCGGUGGCGAAGGCGGGUCUCUGGGCCGAUACUGACGCUGAGGAGCGAAAGCGUGGGGAGCGAACAGG
rnacentral:rRNA from 1 species